rnacentral:tRNA from 1 species
GCCCCUGUAGUAUAAUGGAUAGUACACAAGGUUGCGGACCUUGUAAUCGGAGUUCAAUUCUUCGCAGGGGCG